rnacentral:tRNA from 1 species
GGACCAUUAGUCCAGUGGUUAAGACGUGAGAUUUUGAUAUGGCAAGCUACGGCUGAGCAAAUCAAAAAUUCUCGAAUCCUCGGUUCGAUUCCGAGAUGGUCCU